rnacentral:rRNA from 1 species
AACGAACGCUGGCGGCAUGCCUAACACAUGCAAGUCGAACGAGACCUUCGGGUCUAGUGGCGCUCGGGUGCGUAACGCGUGGGAACCUGCCCUUAGGUUCGGUAUAACUCACCGAAGGGGGUGUUAAUACCGGAUAAUGUCUUCGGACCAAAGAUUUAUCGCCUCUGGCUGGGGCCGUGUUGGAUUCGCUAGUUGGUAGGGUAAUAGCCUACCAAGGGGACGAUCCAUGGCUGGUCGGGGAGGAGGACCAGCCACACUGGGACUGAGACACGGCCCAGACUCCUACGGGAGGCAGCGGUGUGGAAUAUUGGACAAUGAGCGAAAGUCUGAUCCAGCAAUGCCGCGUGAGUGAGGAAUGCCUUAGUGUUGUAAAUCUCUCUUACCCGGGGUGAGAAUGACAGUACCGGGAGAAUAAGCUCCGGCUAACUCCGUG